AUUGACCACAAUGGCAUAUCUUUCUUAGUCUUCCUUCCCCCAAUGGAAUGAGCACAACAAGGUACUAAUACCACCAUUAAAAGGAAAAAAACUAAACUUCCCCCAAUGGAAUGAGCACAACAAGGUACUAAUACCACCAUUAAAAGGAAAAAAAAAACUAAAAGAAGAUGUGCCAAUGUACAAGAAUAAUCUACAUUGUGUCUCUAACAAAUCUCAUAAAUCCGCCAAGGUUGGGAGAAGGAUGUGUUGGUGGUGGUGGAAACGAAGCUUGUUCAUCACCACUUCCGGGCGAAGCCGAAUCCUCCGAAAGUUCCGCUAUCAUUUCUUUAUAAGCUUUAUCCAUCGACGGUUGUGAUUCUGCAAUUCCAAAGUUUCUUCUUUCCGCGUGGAUCUGAUCUGUAAAAAGCACCGAUUUUUCCAAGCUAUCCCUCAUCGCCGCACUAUGAUCACCGAUUUGUAUUCUUGCUUGACUGAAAGCGCUAUCCGAUGCAACAGUUGAAGCUUGAAUUGAUAAAAUAUCCCGAGUCAUCCUUGCAAGAACCGGA
rnacentral:lncRNA from 1 species